GGGGGACGUAAUUUCCUUCCUUGCUUGGAGGUUGACCCCGAGUCUCGUUUUCCUUCGUCCCUCCAGGGAAGCUGUCGCCUGUCACAACAAAUUCCGGAGGAAAUGCAAUUCCUUCUUCGUUGAGUUCAUCACCAUGUACUUUUUGGGCGACAGGGAGGCGCCGUCUGCCAAAAUCAUUCAGCAACUGAUCAAGUUUGUGGCUUGCAAGCCCAACCCUGAGCAUCAGGCGCGGAAAAAGGUGUACAAGCCGAAAAGCAAGUUGUCGCCCUUUGAGGAGUGCAUGGACACCAGCCCCACCAUCCAGUCGUCCCUCCUGAAGCUGCUGCUGCGCUGCGGGUUCAACAACGUCAAGGUUCACUUGGAAGAAUACCUGUCCACGAUGGAGGAGAUAAUAACCAACCAGAGUAACGUGGAGCACUUCUACUUCAUGGUGGUGCACUGCCUGGAGGAUUUUAUGUAUCCUUCUUCCGAAGAAGACGUCAGCCAGCUCGCAGAAAGCUGCCUCUCCACUGCAGACCUGUCCGCUUCCUGCGAGCCCCAGGCCUCAAAAAUUGACACCCUCCAGUUCAUCGCCCGGCUCCGGCUCUCCAUCAGCCACGUGGCCACCGUGCUUGGCAGGCAGAUGCUUUCCGGUGAGUUCUCUCGCUUUGGCGUCGCGUCAGAACUGCGCCUACCCCUAAAAAGGUCGAGACUAAACCCCCAAAAAACGG
rnacentral:lncRNA from 1 species